AUUGAACGCUGGCGGCAGGCCUAACACAUGCAAGUCGAGCGAUCGGCGGACGGGUGAGUAAUGUAUGGGGAAUGCCCGACAGAGGGGGUUAACAACUGGAUACGGUAGCUAAUACCGCAUACUAUCGGCUAACCCAUAUGGGAUUAGCUAGUAGGUGAGUUAAUGGCUCACCUAGGCGACGCUCCCUAGCUGGUCUGCGAGGAUGAACCGCCACAAUGGGACUGAACCCCGGCCCGGAUUCCUACGGAGGCAGAAGUGGGGAAUAUGCCCAAAUGGGGGCAAGCCUGAUGCAGAAAGGCCGCGUAUAUGAAGCAGGCCCUAGGGUUUUAAAGUACGUUCAGUCGGGAGGCGUUACCGGCAGAGAAAGCACCGGCUAACUCCGUGCCAGCAGCCGCGGUAAUUC
rnacentral:rRNA from 1 species